UACGUAGGGUGCGAGCGUUGUCCGGAAUUAUUGGGCGUAAAGAGCUCGUAGGCGGUCUGUCGCGUCGGUCGUGAAAACUUGGGGCUUAACCCUGAGCUUGCGGUCGAUACGGGCAUGACUGGAGUUCGGCAGGGGAGACUGGAAUUCCUGGUGUAGCGGUGUAAUGCGCAGAUAUCAGGAGGAACACCGGUGGCGAAGGCGGGUCUCUGGGCCGAUACUGACGCUGAGGAGCGAAAGCGUGGGGAGCGAACAGG
rnacentral:rRNA from 1 species